UACGUAGGGGGCUAGCGUUGUCCGGAAUCAUUGGGCGUAAAGAGCGUGUAGGCGGCCCGGUAAGUCCGCUGUGAAAGUCGGGGGCUCAACCCUCGAAUGCCGGUGGAUACUGUCGGGCUAGAGUGCGGAAGAGGCGAGUGGAAUUCCUGGUGUAGCGGUGAAAUGCGCAGAUAUCAGGAGGAACACCGAUUGCGAAGGCAGCUCGCUGGGACGUAACUGACGCUGAGACACGAAAGCGUGGGGAGCGAACAGG
rnacentral:rRNA from 1 species